rnacentral:rRNA from 1 species
GACGAACCGAGCGAACGUUAUUCGGAAUCACUGGGCUUAAAGGGCGCGUAGGCGGGCCGUCAAGUCGAGGGUGAAAUCCCCCAGCUCAACUGGGGAAGUGCCUCCGAUACUGGCGGCCUCGAGGGGGAUAGGGGCAUGCGGAACUUCCGGUGGAGCGGUGAAAUGCGUAGAUAUCGGAAGGAACACCGGUGGCGAAAGCGGCUCACUGGACCACAACUGACGCUGAGGCGCGAAAGCUAGGGGAGCAAACAGG